rnacentral:rRNA from 1 species
UACAGAGGUCUCAAGCGUUGUUCGGAUUCAUUGGGCGUAAAGGGUGUGUAGGUGGCGCGCUAAGUCGGGUGUGAAAUCCCUCGGCUUAACCAAGGAAGUGCAUUCGAAACUGCAGAACUUGAGUACUGGAGAGGGUCGCGGAAUUCUCGGUGUAGAGGUGAAAUUCGUAGAUAUCGGGAGGAACACCAGUGGCGAAGGCGUCCACCUGGACAGAUACUGACACUGAGUCACGAAAGCGUGGGUAGCGAACAGG